rnacentral:rRNA from 1 species
CAAUAGCGUAUAUUAAAGUUGUUGCAGUUAAAAAGCUCGUAGUUGGAUUUCUGGUGGGAGCGAUCGGUCUGGCGCUUAGCGCGAGUACUUGCAUCGUCUCCGGCCAUCCUUGGGGAGAGUCUGUCUGGCAUUAGGUUGUCGGGCAGAGGAUCCUCAUCGUUUACUGUGAUAAAAUUAGAGUGUUCAAAGCAGGCUUAUGCCGUUGAAUAUAUUAGCAUGGAAUAAUAAGAUAGGACUUUGGUACUAUUUUGUUGGUUUGCGCACCAAAGUAAUGAUUAAUAGGGACAGUUGGGGGUAUUCGUAUUCCGUUGUCAGAGGUGAAAUUCUUGGAUUUACGGAAGACGAACUACUGCGAAAGCAUUUACCAAGGAUGUUUUCAUUAA